GCCUGGCUGGCUCAAUCUGUAGAGCAUGUGACUCUUGAUCUUGGGGUUGUAAGUUCGAGCCCCAUGUCGGGUG
rnacentral:tRNA from 1 species